rnacentral:lncRNA from 1 species
AACUAGGAAACUUCCAGCCAUUGUUUGUGCCUUUGACCCUCUGGCUCCCUCCACGCUGAUGAAAGGCACCCUUUUGUCAACCUGAGGCUUGAAAGUGACCCUGGGUCGAGACCUGCCGGCUGGUUUCUUUUGUGUUUUCUUACUUUUCUGGCUCCUUCCUUCCUUCAUUCCAUCAGGGGAAGCGCUGCUUUUUCCCCAAGCAGAUCCCACCCCCACGGAUGGUUGGGGCCGCAUUAAGCCCCUGACCCAGUGCAUGGGCGGGCGUCACCUCGAGCUCUUCCUGUUCAGAGCCCAGCUGGAACCGAACAGGCGCGCAUCUAAUGUUUGUGGAAUGAAUACAGGUGGGUGGCUCCCCAAGCUUGUCUCUGAAGGCUCCGCAAGACAUCCUCAGGUUUGAAUCCUAAGCUUGUGAACAAAUGCAUGGCGGGCUAAUCAGUAUUCCAGAAAGAAAGCCGUCUCCAGCUCCCGGACAUGACCGGCGUGGCCGGGAUGGGACACGCUCUCCAGAGGCUACGAGUUCGCUGAUGGCUCCACCGUCCACCGAUUUGGAAGGAGAACCUGAUGGUUAAUUUGGAGUCAAUUAAAUCUUAAUACUUACCCUUGGAUAAACUCAGAGCCUGGGACAG